GACAACAUCCUGGUGCUGCCGAGUGAUGGCACAGCGACUCCAGCAUCAGUGAUUUUGUUGA
rnacentral:pre_miRNA from 1 species